rnacentral:rRNA from 1 species
GUCUACGGCCAUACCACCCUGAACGCGCCCGAUCUCGUCUGAUCUGAGAAGCUAAGCAGGGUCGGGCCUGGUUAGUACUUGGAUGGGAGACAAUAAGGCAAGGAAUUAGGACACAGAUA